GUAGGUGGCAAGCGUUGUCCGGAAUUAUUGGGCGUAAAGCGCGCGCAGGUGGUUCUUUAAGUCUGAUGUGAAAGCCCCCGGCUCAACCGGGGAGGGUCAUUGGAAACUGGGGAACUUGAGUGCAGGAGAGGAAAGUGGAAUUCCACGUGUAGCGGUGAAAUGCGUAGAUAUGUGGAGGAACACCUGUGGCGAAGGCGACUUUCUGGCCUGUAACUGACACUGAGGCGCGAAAGCGUGGGGAGCAAACAGGGAUUAGAUACCCUGGUAGUCCACGCCGUAAACGAUGAGUGCUAAGUGUUGGGGGGGUUUCCCGCCCCUCAGUGCCCGCAGCUAACGCAUUAAGCACUCCGCCUGGGGAGUACGGCCGCAAGACUG
rnacentral:rRNA from 1 species